rnacentral:rRNA from 1 species
CCUACGGGAGGCAGCAGUGGGGGAUAUUGCACAAUGGGGGAAACCCUGAUGCAGCGACGCCGCGUGAGUGAAGAAGUAUUUCGGUAUGUAAAGCCCUAUCAGCAGGGAAGAAAAUGACAGUACCUGACCAAGAAGCCCCGGCUAACUACGUGCCACCAGCCGCUGUAACACGGAGGGGGCAAGGGUUAUCCGGAUUUACUGGGUGUAAAGGGAGCGUAGACGGUUAUGUAAGUCUGGAGUGAAAGCCCGGGGCCCAACCCCGGGACUGCUUUGGAAACUGUGUAACUGGAGUACAGGAGGGGCAGGCGGAAUUCCUGGUGUAGCGGUGAAAUGCGUAGAUAUCGGGAGGAACACCGGCGGCGAAGGCGGCCUGCUGGACUGAAACUGACGUUGAGGCUCGAAAGCGUGGGGAGCGAACAGGAUUAGAUACCCCAGUAGUC